CCCUAUUAUUUUGGAAUGUUAAUUUUGUGUGUCUGAGUAGUAUUAGUUAUGUUCUUGAAACUUAAAGAAUUUGGCGGUAUCUCAUUCCUUCCAGAGGAAUCUGUCUCGUUAUCGAUAGUCCACGUUGGACCUUACUUAGUUUAAUUUGGUUUGUAUACCGCCGUUUAUUGAUUAUCCUUUUAGGGUUAGUGUAAUUUUCUGGUUUCUUUAUUUUGGUUUAUUUCAGGUCAAGGUGCAGCUUGUUUCUAAGUGAAUGAUGGAUUACAUUGUUAUUUGUUUAUUGGAUUGUUGAUUUUAAUAUUGGCAUGAAAUUGGAUUUGGUUGUAAUGAUUUGUAGACUGUUAUUGUGAUAGUUGGUUCUGAGAUAUGCACACAUCGCCCGUCGCUCUCGUUUCGUUGUUAAUGAGAUAAGUC
rnacentral:rRNA from 1 species